UCGAACGGUGAACACGGAGCUUGCUCUGUGGGAUCAGUGGCGAACGGGUGAGUAACACGUGAGCAACCUGCCCCUGACUCUGGGAUAAGCGCUGGAAACGGCGUCUAAUACUGGAUAUGUGACGUGAUCGCAUGGUCUGCGUCUGGAAAGAAUUUCGGUUGGGGAUGGGCUCGCGGCCUAUCAGCUUGUUGGUGAGGUAAUGGCUCACCAAGGCGUCGACGGGUAGCCGGCCUGAGAGGGUGACCGGCCACACUGGGACUGAGACACGGCCCAGACUCCUACGGGAGGCAGCAGUGGGGAAUAUUGCACAAUGGGCGCAAGCCUGAUGCAGCAACGCCGCGUGAGGGAUGACGGCCUUCGGGUUGUAAACCUCUUUUAGCAGGGAAGAAGCGAAAGUGACGGUACCUGCAGAAAAAGCGCCGGCUAACUACGUGCCAGCAGCCGCGGUAAUACGUAGGGCGCAAGCGUUAUCCGGAAUUAUUGGGCGUAAAGAGCUCGUAGGCGGUUUGUCGCGUCUGCUGUGAAAUCCGGAGGCUCAACCUCCGGCCUGCAGUGGGUACGGGCAGACUAG
rnacentral:rRNA from 1 species